CAGAAAGGGUCGCAGGCGCACUGUGC
rnacentral:piRNA from 1 species